CAAUUUCCUUCUUACACCCCCGAAGGAUCAACUUCCUACUUUUUUCUACCAAUAACGCAUUUGUUGCUACCACCUGGACACAUUGAGGCCAACCUCGAGAUAGAGGGUCUAAUAGCUUAGACAAUUAUGAGUAGGUUUUCUUUUGUUCCCCCCAUUCUUGUGUUAGAACUUCUAGAGUAGCUCCUUCAUUGACACUUAACAAAAAGGUGAGAAGUUUUUUUCAGGGCAGGCAGUUCUAACACUGGUGCUGUGAUUAAGUCCCAUUUUGAUACUUCUACUAAUUCUUUUUCCCCUUUUGUUCAUUUUAAUAUGUUGGGUUCUCCCUCUGAUAGUUUGAGAUACAAUCUCUUUGUCUUUUUGUGCAUAUGCUUCUAUUUGUAAUUGACAGAAUCCAAUUAAACCUAAAAACUUUUGCAACUCCCCCUUUGUUCUGGGCAGAGAAAGCUGCAAAAUUUCCUGAAUUCCUUCAGGAUUUAUUCUGCAUUUCCCUUCAGAAAUCACAUGCCCAAGGUAUCUGACUUCUUUUUCCACAUACUGCAGUUUAUUUUUAGAUACCCUUAGCCCACAUUCCUCCAAGAAGUUCAAGAGUUUACUUGUAGUCUUUUUUACUUUAGAGUCCUCUUUGCCACAAAUCAGCAAAUCAUCUACAUACUGUAACAACUUUACCCCCUCUUCAACCUGAAACUUUUUCAAAACUUUCUCCAGCACUUGUCUGCAUAGAUUAGGUGAUUCUGUGAACCCCCGGUGUAAAACAAUCCACAUAUAUUGCUGCUUUCAUCCCAUUUCUGGGUCCUCCCAUUCAAAGGCAAAAAGAUCUCGACUCUCUGAGUCCAAAGGGCAGGUCCAGAAAGCAUCUUUUAAGUUUAUUAUACUAAACCAUUUUUGUUUGUGUGGGAUCUGACUCAUUAGAGUAUAGGGGUCAGGAACUACAGGGUGCACUUGAGAACUAUUUCAUUAAUUUUUCUUAGACCUUGCACCAGUCAAUACGUGCCAUCUGCCUUCUGUACUGACAAAACUGGAGUGUUAAAGGGUGACAUACAGAGUUCCAGAAGACCAUCUCUAACCAAUGCCUAUAUUAUAGGUUUUAGACCCAUUAUCCCUUCUAAAGAUCUCUGUUCAGAUGGAUGAUGAUUUGAGCCAAUACCCUCCACUCUGUCAGCUGUCUGCAGUCUCCCUGCUGUAGUUACAGGACUUGACUCAAGGACAGGAUGCCAGCAUGUAUGAUAAGAAAAAAGAUUCUGCAGUGUAAGACUUCAACUAUGACUUCUUAUUGUUUGAGAAGAUGGACCGGGGAAAUGGAAAUCUGCCAAGGUAACUAAGAUACUUAGCAGACAGUGAUAUGAUAAUAGCAGACUUAAAGACCCAUCAAAAAAUUAAGAUCAAAUACACUAUUUAUUUUUCUGUAAUGUAAAACAGAUGGCAUCUGGACAGACAAGAAAUGUGAGUUUAUGUCACAGUCAGGAGAGCCAUCCACAUUAUUGCUGGCAUGGACAUGGUAAAGUCAAAUCAAUCUCUAAGUGAAGAACAAGAAGAAUAAAAGAUCUGAGGAUUUUUUUCCUCAGAUCUCUGAGGAAUUUUUGCCAAGGCAAGGAGACUAUGCAUGGGCAGAAAUGGUCUAACAGCUUGAAAAAUACACUUGUAGAGAAAAAGUGUCAAUAAAAACGCAAGAGUAUAAUAUAUUUACAUAAGGUAACAAAAAAUGCCUGAAAACCACAACUCCAGAUGCAGGUUCAAUUCAUAGAAAAACAACAACAAAAACAGUAAAAAAAAAAAUGGAAGAAGUAGUCCAACUACUUCAAUGCAUUCCAAAUGAAGUAGAGAUAGGAAAACUGACAAGUUAGAACCUGGAGUUUUAAAGAACAUGUAACUCAAUUCCAAUCCCC
ensembl:lncRNA